CAGCAGCCGCGGUAAUACAGAGGGUGCGAGCGUUAAUCGGAUUUACUGGGCGUAAAGCGUGCGUAGGCGGCUUCUUAAGUCGGAUGUGAAAUCCCUGAGCUUAACUUAGGAAUUGCAUUCGAUACUGGGAAGCUAGAGUAUGGGAGAGGAUGGUAGAAUUCCAGGUGUAGCGGUGAAAUGCGUAGAGAUCUGGAGGAAUACCGAUGGCGAAGGCAGCCAUCUGGCCUAAUACUGACGCUGAGGUACGAAAGCAUGGGGAGCAAACAGGAUUAGAUACCCCUGUAGUCCCUGUCUCUUAUAC
rnacentral:rRNA from 1 species